UAAUACAUAGGGGGCAAGCGUUAUCCGGAAUUAUUGGGCGUAAAGGGUGCGUAGGCGGCUAUUUAAGUCUUUGGUGUAAGUGCAGUGCUCAACGCCGUGAUGCUAAAGAAACUGGAUAGCUUGAGUGAGGUAGAGGCAAGUGGAAUUCCAUGUGUAGCGGUAAAAUGCGUAAAUAUAUGGAGGAACACCAGUGGCGAAGGCGGCUUGCUGGGCCUUAACUGACGCUGAGGCACGAAAGCGUGGGGAGCAAACAGGAUUAGAUACCCUGGUAGUCCUCGCCGUAAACGAUGAGUACUAAGUGUUGGAGAAAUUCAGUGCUGUAGUUAACGCAAUAAGUACUCCGCCUGAGUAGUACGUACGCAAGUAUG
rnacentral:rRNA from 1 species